GAUGUGGAGCCUGAGUGCAUCAUGGAGAAGGUGGCCAAGGCUUCAGGUGCCAACUACAGCUUUCACAAGGAGAGUGGCCGCUUCCAGGAUGCGGGACCCCAGGCCCCAGUGGGCUCUGUGUACCAGAAGACCAAUGCCGUGUCUGAGAUUAAAAGGGUUGGUAAAGACAGCUUCUGGGCCAAAGCAGAGAUGGUCACACUGAGGCUCGGAAGGAGGAGGAGAACCGUCGGCUAGAGGAAAAGCGGCGGGCCGAGGAGGCGCAGCGGCAGCUGGAGCAGGAGCGCCGGGAGCGUGAGCUGCGUGAGGCUGCACGCCGGGAGCAGCGCUAUCAGGAGCAGGGUGGCGAGGCCAGCCCCCAGAGGACGUGGGAGCAACAGCAAGAAGUGGUUUCAAGGAACCGAGAUGAGCAGGUAAGAUGGGGGUGCUCUACUUGUUUGGACCUGUCCUGGCCACAAGCAGAAGUCCCUGAUCUUGGGUUGAGGGCCCAGCCCAGACCUGGGCAGAGGCUGCCCUGCAGUCAGCUGGGGCAGUUUGGAAUCUGGGCACCUCAAGAGGUGGCAGUAGACAGGAAAGCCAAAGGCGGAAGCUUCGGGCUUGGACCACACCUGGUCCUGGGGGAGGCCCUGUGAGCCCCUCGGCUUCUGUGUUUUACUUCCUUUUUUAAAGUUACUUUUUAUUUUUAAAUGACUUCUCACCUGAGAACAUGUUUUCCCUCCUGGCCCCACACUCACUUUUGAGGGGCUACUGGGCCGACAGCUGGAGGGGCUGUGAUCUGGGGAGAGGUGGUAAAAGUUUUGCCCACUGCAAGGGUCAACGUGUGCUUCCCUCCAGGAGUCUGCCGUGUACCCAAGGGAGAUUUUCAAGCAGAAGGAGAGGGCCAUGACCACCACCUCCAUCUCCAGUCCUCAGCCUGGCAAGCUGAGGAGCCCCUUCCUGCAGAAGCAGCUCACCCAACCAGAGACCCACUUUGGCAGAGAGCCAGCUGCUGCCGUCUCAAGGCCCAGGGCAGAUCUCCCUGCUGAGGAGCCGGUGCCCAGCACUCCUCCAUGUCUGGUGCAGGCAGAAGAGGAGGCUGUGUAUGAGGAACCCCCAGAGCAGGAGACCUUCUACGAGGAGCCCCCACUGGUGCAGCAGCAAGGUGCCGGCUCUGAGCACAUUGACCACCACAAUCAGGGCCAGGGGCUCAGUGGGCAAGGGCUCUGUGCCCGUGCCCUGUACGACUACCAGGCAGCCGACGACACAGAGAUCUCCUUUGACCCCGAGAACCUCAUCACGGGCAUCGAGGUGAUCGACGAAGGCUGGUGGCGUGGCUAUGGGCCGGAUGGCCAUUUUGGCAUGUUCCCUGCCAACUACGUGGAGCUCAUUGAGUGAGGCUGAGGGCACAUCUUGCCCUUCCCCUCUCAGACAUGGCUUCCUUAUUGCUGGAAGAGGAGGCCUGGGAGUUGACAUUCGGCACUCUUCCAGGAAUGGGACCCCCAGUGAGGAUGAGGCCUCAGGGCUCCCUCCGGCUUGGCAGACUCAGCCCGUCACCCCAAAUGCGGCAAUGACCUGGUGAUUCCCACACAUCCUUCCUGCAUCCCCCGACCCUCCCAGACAGCUUGGCUCUUGCCCGUGACAGGAUACUGAGCCAAGCCCUGCCUGUGGCCAAGCCCUGCCUGUGGCCAAGCCCUGAGUGGCCACUGCCAAGCUGCGGGGAAGGGUCCUGAGCAGGGGCAUCUGGGAGGCUCCGGCUGCCUUCUGCAUUUAUUUGCCUUUUUUCUUUUUCUCUUGCUUCUAAGGGGUGGUGGCCACCACUGUUUAGAAUGACCCUUGGGAACAGUGAACAUAGAGAAUUGUUUUUAGCAGAGUUUGUGACCAAAGUCAGAGUGGAUCAUGGUGGUUUGGCAGCAGGGAAGUAGUCUUGUUGGAGCCUGCUCUGUGCUCCCCACUCCAUUUCUCUGUCCCUCUGCCUGGGCUAUGGGAAGUAGGGAUGCAGAGGGCCAAGCUCCCACCCUGGGUAUUCGAAAACAGCAGACACAACAUGUUCCUCCACGCGGCUCACUCGAUGCCUGCAGGCCUCAGUGUGUGCCUCAACUGAUUCUGACUUCAGGAAAAGUAACACAGAGUGGCCUUGGCCUGUUGUCUUCCCCUAUUUUCUGUCCCAGCUCAUCCGUGUCUCUGAAGAACAAAUAUGCUUUUGGACCACG
rnacentral:sRNA from 1 species